rnacentral:lncRNA from 1 species
AACAUCAUGCCAAAUACCUUCUUUUUUUUACACUGGGGGCCUAUACGCACUUUCCACACCAAAAACAUUGUAGCUUUGUGUCAAGAUCAGUCAACGAAUAGCCCACAUGUCUCAUCACCUGUGACGGGAGAAACGCCAUCAGAUGUGACAUCAGGUAUGACAGCAGAGAGGCCAACUGCCCCACUUUCUACAAAUGGCCCGACUGAUAAACCCGCCGCUGCCACAACUGGUCAGUCCGCCCUACCUUCAACUGGACAAACUGGAGCCCCAGAAACCAGCGAAACCACCGUGGAUGUGGGAGAGGUUCCACCAGAAGGGCUUUCACCCGGCGCUAUAGCUGGCAUUACCAUCGGUUCUCUGGCUGGGGUGGCUGCAGUUGGUGGUGGGAUCUUUGGCGCGCUGAAGUACACCGGGAGGCUCUGAGA